rnacentral:lncRNA from 1 species
AGACCCAGGUUUGUUUCGUUUAAAGGAGGAUGCAAUUCUGUCCGUGAAUGCAUUUUCUCUAAAUGUUGGCUUCAUCCCUCCUUUGGUAGAGCAUGUCAACGGAUUUGCUAAUGUGAGUUGCUUUCAGACUAGUCUGUGGUUUUUCUUUUUUAUUUCUUUCCUCCCCUUUGGGCAUUUUUUUUUUUUCUGCUUCAAAAAAGGAGAUAAUUCUUUCUACAAGUAUCUGGUAAAAGAAAUUCCUCUAGGUCCUCUUUUUAAAAAGCGUUUGCCUAAGUCGGGUUAUCUUUUGUCUUUAUCACUUCAUAAAGUAGAGCAAUUAAAGAUGUGAUGUUGCAUGGGCGGAAAGGGUGGAUCCAUUAUACGGCGACAUAAUACGCUAUAUUCUCGCCUGAAAGUUUGAAGCUAAAUUACGAUUUCGCUUUUUCUAGACUUAAAAAUCAAUAUUUUCUCAAUUAAAGCGAAUUUUAAUGCUUUACUUGCGAGUUGUUAAAGGCGCUGUAAAUUGUAUUGUAAUGCUCUUGACUUCGGAGUAGAUGCAGGAGACGGGUUGAUUCUCGUGGUCUUUUUCCUCUCGAGGAACCUAGCCCAGGAACAUCCCAUGGUUUCAUAUCAAAUUGAAGCAACAAAGAAGCCCUGUGUCACCCCUUCUCCAACCCCCAUUCCCAUCUUUGGAGACACUCAGGGAGGGGACAGGGACCCCGGUGACUCCCUAGAACCAGCGCUCCUAGGGCAAGGCAGAGGUGGGAGACAACCCGGUCUUCAGGCCAGUGAAGUGAUGCCUCAGUCUGAUUGUGUUUGAAGAUUUGCUGGGGCUAUUGUGUGACAAUUGAGGGCAAAGAAGGGAAAACAGAAGCAAAGAAAACUGUUUCAAAAGUCUUGGAAUUGCUACUGUUAAAAGGCUGCGGUUCAUUUCUGAUUUCCUCAUCUUUUGCUACAAAGGAAAAAGAAAUCCAAUGAUGUGUCUACCUUUGGUGAGAAGAAAACACGAGCAACAGCAGUGUAGGCAGAAACUGCAGGCUGUUCAGAAUCCAAUUCUCUGGAUAUUGGCAUGCUACAUUCAAUGUCCAGCUACAUUAAGUGU